UACGGGGGGGGCAAGCGUUGUUCGGAAUUACUGGGCGUAAAGGGUUCGUAGGUGGCUUGCUAAGUCAGACGUGAAAUCCCUCAGCUUAACUGGGGAACUGCGUCUGGGACUGGUGAGCUUGAGUGCAGGAGAGGAACGCGGAAUUCCAGGUGUAGCGGUGAAAUGCGUAGAUAUCUGGAGGAACACCGGUGGCGAAGGCGGCGUUCUGGACUGCUACUGACACUGAGGAACGAAAGCCAGGGGAGCAAACGGG
rnacentral:rRNA from 1 species